GUAGUCCACGCCGUAAACGAUGAGUGCUAAGUGUUAGGGGGUUUCCGCCCCUUAGUGCUGCAGCUAACGCAUUAAGCACUCCGCCUGGGGAGUACGACCGCAAGGUUGAAACUCAAAGGAAUUUGACGGGGGACCCGCACAAGCGGUGGAGCAUGUGGUUUAAUUCGAAGCAACGCGAAGAACCUUACCAAAUCUUGACAUCCUUUGAAAACUCUAGAGAUAGAGCUUUCCCCUUCGGGGGGACAAAGUGACAGGUGGUGCAUGGUUGUCGUCAGCUCGUGUCGUGAGAUGUUGGGUUAAGUCCCGCAACGAGCGCAACCUUAAGCUUAGUUGCCAUCAUUAAGUUGGGCACUCUAGGUUGACUGCCGGUGACAAACCGGAGGAAGGUGGGGAUGACGUCAAAUCAUCAUGCCCCUUAUGAUUUGGGCUACACACGUGCUACAAUGGACAAUACAAAGGGCAGCUAAACCGCGAGGUCAUGCAAAUCCCAUAAAGUUGUUCUCAGUUCGGAUUGCAGUCUGCAACUCGACUACAUGAAGCUGGAAUCGCUAGUAAUCGUAGAUCAGCAUGCUACGGUGAAUACGUUCCCGGGUCUUGUACACACCGCCCGUCACACCAUGGGAGUUGGUCUUACCCGACGGCGCUGCGCCAACCGCAAGGGGGCAGGCGACCACGGUAGGGUCAGCGACUGGGGUGAAGUCGUAA
rnacentral:rRNA from 1 species